rnacentral:rRNA from 1 species
UACAGAGGGGGCAAGCGUUAUUCGGAAUUACUGGGCGUAAAGCGCGCGUAGGCGGCUUUUCAAGCCGAUUGUGAAAUCCCCGGGCUUAACCUGGGAACUGCAGUCGGGACUGUCUAGCUAGAGUAUGGGAGAGGGAAGUGGAAUUUCAGGUGUAGCGGUGAAAUGCGUAGAUAUCUGAAGGAACAUCAGUGGCGAAAGCGACUUCCUGGACCAAUACUGACGCUCAUGUGCGAAAGCGUGGGGAGCAACAGG